rnacentral:rRNA from 1 species
AUUGAACGCUGGCGGCAGGCUUAACACAUGCAAGUCGAGCGGGGGAAGGUAGCUUGCUACCGGACCUAGCGGCGGACGGGUGAGUAAUGCUUAGGAAUCUGCCUAUUAGUGGGGGACAACAUCUCGAAAGGGAUGCUAAUACCGCAUACGUCCUACGGGAGAAAGCAGGGGAUCUUCGGACCUUGCGCUAAUAGAUGAGCCUAAGUCGGAUUAGCUAGUUGGUGGGGUAAAGGCUUACCAAGGCGACGAUCUGUAGCGGGUCUGAGAGGAUGAACCGCGACACUGGGACUGAGACACGGACCAGACUCCUACGGGAGGCAGCAGUGGGGAAUAUUGGACAAUGGGGGGAACCCUGAUCCAGCCAUGCCGCGUGUGUGAAGAAGGCCUUAUGGUUGUAAAGCACUUUAAGCGAGGAGGAGGCUACUUUAGUUAAUACCUAGAGAUAGUGGACGUUACUCGCAGAAUAAGCACCGGCUAACUCUGUGCCAGCCGCCGCGGUAA